rnacentral:rRNA from 1 species
UACGUAGGGGGGCUAGCGUUGUCCGGAAUCAUUGGGCGUAAAGCGCGUGUAGGCGGUCCGGUAAGUCCGCUGUGAAAGUCGGGGGCUCAACCCUCGGAUGCCGGUGGAUACUGUCGGACUAGAGUACGGAAGAGGCGAGUGGAAUUCCUGGGUGUAGCGGUGAAAUGCGCAGAUAUCAGGAGAACACCAGUGGCGAAGGCAGGGUCUCUG